rnacentral:rRNA from 1 species
UAGGCAAAAUGGCACCGUAACUUCGGGAGAAGGUGCGCCGGCUAGGGUGAAGGAUUUACUCCGUAAGCUCUGGCUGGUCGAAGAUACCAGGCCGCUGCGACUGUUUAUUAAAAACACAGCACUCUGCAAACACGAAAGUGGACGUAUAGGGUGUGACGCCUGCCCGGUGCCGGAAGGUUAAUUGAUGGGGUUAGCGCAAGCGAAGCUCUUGAUCGAAGCCCCGGUAAACGGCGGCCGUAACUAUAACGGUCCUAAGGUAGCGAAAUUCCUUGUCGGGUAAGUUCCGACCUGCACGAAUGGCGUAACGAUGGCGGCGCUGUCUCCACCCGAGACUCAGUGAAAUUGAAAUCGCUGUGAAGAUGCAGUGUAUCCGCGGCUAGACGGAAAGACCCCGUGAACCUUUACUGUAGCUUUGCACUGGACUUUGAGCCUGCUUGUGUAGGAUAGGUGGGAGGCUUUGAAGCGUGGACGCCAGUUCGCGUGGAGCCAUCCUUGAAAUACCACCCUGGCAUGCUUGAGGUUCUAACUCUGGUCCGUGAUCCGGAUCGAGGACAGUGUAUGGUGGGCAGUUUGACUGGGGCGGUCUCCUCCUAAAGAGUAACGGAGGAGUACGAAGGUGCGCUCAGACCGGUCGGAAAUCGGUCGCAGAGUAUAAAGGCAAAAGCGCGCUUGACUGCGAGACAGACACGUCGAGCAGGUACGAAAGUAGGUCUUAGUGAUCCGGUGGUUCUGUAUGGAAGGGCCAUCGCUCAACGGAUAAAAGGUACUCCGGGGAUAACAGGCUGAUACCGCCCAAGAGUUCAUAUCGACGGCGGUGUUUGGCACCUCGAUGUCGGCUCAUCACAUCCUGGGGCUGAAGCCGGUCCCAAGGGUAUGGCUGUUCGCCAUUUAAAGUGGUACGCGAGCUGGGUUUAGAACGUCGUGAGACAGUUCGGUCCCUAUCUGCCGUGGACGUUUGAGAUUUGAGAGGGGCUGCUCCUAGUACGAGAGGACCGGAGUGGACGAACCUCUGGUGUUCCGGUUGUCACGCCAGUGGCAUUGCCGGGUAGCUAUGUUCGGAAAAGAUAACCGCUGAAAGCAUCUAAGCGGGAAACUUGCCUCAAGAUGAGAUCUCACUGGGAACUUGAUUCCCCUGAAGGGCCGUCGAAGACUACGACGUUGAUAGGCUGGGUGUGUAAGCGUUGUGAGGCGUUGAGCUAACCAGUACUAAUUGCCCGUGAGGCUUGACCAUAUAACACCCAAACA